GACGUAGGGCGCGAGCGUUGUCCGGAUUUAUUGGGCGUAAAGAGCUCGUAGGCGGCCUGUCGCGUCGUCCGUGAAAACUUGGGGCUCAACCCCAAGCUUGCGGUCGAUACGGGCAGGCUAGAGUUCGGUAGGGGAGACUGGAAUUCCUGGUGUAGCGGUGAAAUGCGCAGAUAUCAGGAGGAACACCGGUGGCGAAGGCGGGUCUCUGGGCCGAUACUGACGCUGAGGAGCGAAAGCGUGGGGAGCGAACAGG
rnacentral:rRNA from 1 species